ensembl:lncRNA
CACCACUGAAGCGACUUAGCAGCAGCAGCAGCAUGUGAUAAUAGAUGGGAGAAGAAGGCACAGUCAGGAGGGACAGCUAUUGUGGUUGGGAGAAUUUCUUCUUAGAGAAAUAACUUGGAAGGAAACAGCCACCAGGGCCAACACAUCUACAAGUGGAUUGUCUACAAGGGGAACAGCUUAUCUUAAAUUUAUGCUGCCAUCAAAAAUGAAGAGAAUGAAACAUGAAAUAGAGACAGUUUUGCUUAUACUCAGCCUUCUUAUGUUAAAGUGAGAAGAUAUCCUUUUAUGGAAAAUUAAAAAGCAUUGAAUUAAUUCUUAAGACAUGAGGUAAAGAGGUAUGUCUUUUUUUUUUUUUUAACUGUAGCACAUGGACAUUAACUUUUUAAAUUUUGUUUUGCUAAAAACAUAUACUCCCACUUGGUCUGGGUU